AAUAUCCGACUGACACUUGGGUGGAGACAUUCAGUGACAGUUGUGAUUUUAAAACUUAAAGUCUGAAUGUCAGGUGGACUCUGGGCUUUGGGUGGACAUUUAGUUAGAGCUCUUUCACACAGGCCUACAGACUGUGAGCGCUGACAGGAAGUGGUCCCUACGGGAAAAUGUGUGUUCACAGCUUCAAAGUGUACCUGGUUGCAAAGAGGUCUGCGGUGCUAUGCUGAAAAACCUCAUUGUGAUUGCUUUGGUCACUAGCAGGUUAACACAGUUGGCCAUAGUUUCCAUAGAAGAUGCAGACAUGUCUGCAAAUGCUUGCUUCUGUUUUUCUUCAUGAAAACUGUGAGUGACCAAAGAAAUCAGCAGGAGGUUUUUGGUGCAGCCCUCUCUUUGCAAGUGAUCUCACAAAGUCACAGCCAGAAACCACUGAGGCAGAUUUGUCUCUACAAAAACAGAUUAUCACUCUAGUUCUGUGAACAUUGAUCAACAUCACUUUUUCAGCAUCUUUAUAUUUUUGUUUCAUGACAAAUAAUUUCAGAUAUAUGAAACAAAACAAAAAAAGAAAUAAAAACUUUAAAAAAAACUAAAUGCAAAUAAAAAUAUUUUUCAGUGCCUUGUAAACACAUUUAACUUAUUUAUGUAUUUGAUUAUCGGUCCUAAGAGCAGGCUUAAUAUUUUAAUCUAAUAACAAAAAUAUCAAAACUGAAUGUUUUCAUCACAACAUUUAUUCUUUUCACAGAACAAAAAGCUGAAGUCUAAAUGGUUUCAUUGUUUUUAGGUUUUCUGUCCAGAUGCAUCAUCGUGUCUGUGGGUUUAGCAUCACUCCUAAUAUCUGCUGUUACAGUCAACAUGUGGACAAAAACCAAAGGAAUAAAAACACAGAUGGAAGGAAACACUGUGCAUAAUGAUGAAGAUGAUGACACAGUGAACUAUGAAAACACUGCAGACUCUCCUGCUUCUGUCAGACUCCACUGAUCAACAACUUCAACAUCAACUCAUCACAAAAAUGAAUCAUAAUAUCUUUAAUAUUUCCUGACAUUUACUUUUUGAUUUUAUCUCAUAUGUAGGAGCAAAAUUCUUUUCUUUGUGCACUUAGCUUCAACUAUUAAGAAAAAUAACUUCAAAUAAUCAUUUAUUCCUUUUUCAUGAAAAUCGAUGUAUGUACACAGAGGAAUCACAGAACAAUCCACUCAGCCAAUAAAACCCUUUAAGCAAACUGCACAAGAGGUGACAAGUCAGAGAAACAGAUCAGGAGAAAAACAGGUGGCAGUGACGUCUAAAUGAAGCUUUCUGAAGUGCACACAGUCGUCUUUGGUGACAUCUGGUGGACAAAAGUUUGAAGAGCAGCUUGAAUCUACAACUGUUUCAUCAUGAUUGCUCACUCUACAGAGCUCAGCUGACAGCUUUUGUGUGAUAUCAUAAACUGUUCUGUUUAAACAUAUACAGGGUGUGGUCUCUCUUUUCUUGUUACUUCUUGACAUUUGUAAACAAAAUAAAUAAAGAAAAAAACAUUCUUCAAAUUAAUGUACAACACAAUCCUAUAAUAGGUUGGGAAUAAAGUUUGUGAGGUCCUACCUCCACGUGUUAAGGAAAUAAACCAGUUGACAGGCACAUUUAUAUAUAAAAUAUUAUAAUGUAUGUGUAGUGUAUUUUUAUGUAUGUUUUGACCUGAGAUGUAGAAUAAAUUUACUAAUAAAUGGGUAAAAUAAAAUGAUAACACACAUAAGGUUGUUCUAUUUGGUUUUUGUUUGGGAAUAAACAGAACCUUCUCUUCCUCGCAGGCUCCAUGUCUCUCAUUACGUCGCAUAAAAUCACCAAGACAUGUG